UUUUCUUCUAUUUUGGCAAGAUAACAGAAUUUCGACUUGGUUUACGAUUAGUAAAUUACUUCGCAAUCGAUACCAUAAGACGAUUCGGAUGGUGAUAAAGCACGAGUUCGGAAUUUGCGGUCUCCAUUGGCUCGAUCACAACUCUAUCACACGGAACUAUGGAGUGUGGUUCAACUACACUUUUGAAAGUAUCAACCAUCGAUCCAUCAAACGUUUGUCAUACCAAGGUGCACGCGUAACCGCGUCUUCUUAUCAAUCUUUCGUUUUGGAUGCAACGCAACAACAGCAGAACACAUAACAACAGGCACUUUUUUGAGAGAUUAUUUCAACGAGUUGACAAUUUUGCAAUUCAACAAAUUGAUGCGAUAAAAAUCUAUUUUUGCACAAUGGAC